GAUGAACGCUGGCGGCGUGCCUAAUACAUGCAAGUCGAGCGAACGGACGAGAAGCUUGCUUCUCUGAUGUUAGCGGCGGACGGGUGAGUAACACGUGGAUAACCUACCUAUAAGACUGGGAUAACUUCGGGAAACCGGAGCUAAUACCGGAUAAUAUUUUGAACCGCAUGGUUCAAAAGUGAAAGACGGUCUUGCUGUCACUUAUAGAUGGAUCCGCGCUGCAUUAGCUAGUUGGUAAGGUAACGGCUUACCAAGGCAACGAUGCAUAGCCGACCUGAGAGGGUGAUCGGCCACACCGGAACUGAGACACGGUCCAGACGCCUACGGGAGGCAGCAGUAGGGAAUCUUCCGCAAUGGGCGAAAGCCUGACGGAGCAACGCCGCGUGAGUGAUGAAGGUCUUCGGAUCGUAAAACUCUGUUAUUAGGGAAGAACAUAUGUGUAAGUAACUGUGCACAUCUUGACGGUACCUAAUCAGAAAGCCACGGCUAACUACGU
rnacentral:rRNA from 1 species